UGGUUAUUCAGAAAAAGAAUAUUAGUUCUACCUUAAGUUUUAUUAUUACUAUGAAAACCCCCACAAACUUAAGAGCUAUUCAAAUAAGGCACAGCUUGUUUGAAAAAGGAAACAACCUAAAAUAAAGGGUAAGCACCAACAUUAACCCUAAGUGGGCCUGAAAGCAGCCACCUUUUAAAAAGCGUUAAAGCUUAAACUUCACCUCAUCUUUAAUUCCAAUAUUUUCCGCGAACCCUUAAUCACAACUGGAUAAUUCUAUAUAAUUAUAGAAGAUAUAAUGCUAAAACUAGUAACAAGAAGUUGACCUUCUCCAAAAUGCAAGCAAAAGCCUAUACGGACUAACCAUUGGCUAUUAACGUCUAUGAAUUAAAUAUAGUAACUCUCCCUAGUAAACCCUAUAAAUAACAACGUUAAUCUUACACAAGAGCAUUACCGGAAAGAUUAAAAGAAAAAGAAGGAACUCGGCAAAUCCAGGCCUCGCCUGUUUACCAAAAACAUCGCCUCUUGAUAAUCUAUAAGAGGUCCAGCCUGCCCAGUGAACUAUUAAACGGCCGCGGUACCCUGACCGUGCGAAGGUAGCAUAAUAACUUGUUCUUUAAAUGGGGACUAGCAUGAACGGCAUCACGAAGGCCUUACUGUCUCCUUUUUCUAAUCAGUGAAACUGAUCUUCCCGUGAAGAAGCGGGAAUUUUUAU
rnacentral:rRNA from 1 species